AGACAUGCUUUAAAGAGAAAUUUAUGAACAACAUAUGCAGAAUUAAAAAAUGAAAGUAGAAGGCCAAUAAUAUCAACUACAAGUGAUGGCAAAGAAAGGAAACAACACGUCACAUAGCCAAAUAACAAGUGUUACCUUCAUCCUCAAUUCCAACCAGAACUUCGCCGACUUCUCCAACCACAACCACUAAAAAGGAAAUCUAAUUAGAGCUAUAUCUCUUGAAUAGGCAAUUCAAUAAAAUGAAGAAAAAACACUACAUCAAGAGUAAAAUAGCAUAAUAGUGAACCCUCACAUUUAGUGGGGUUUCUGGGAAAAAUACAAUUGUUUCUUCUCCUGGAGCUGGACCGAAACUUCCACAACGAAAAUUU
rnacentral:lncRNA from 1 species